rnacentral:misc_RNA from 1 species
AAGAUAGAGCCAAGCCAAGGCCUAACUCAUCAGUUCCUUCAAUUUCUGGCAAAGUUGAUGACGAUUAUCAUGUAAGUUUUAGAGGCUACCCUCCAAUUCAAAGCUACUCACCUCACUAUUCCACAGCUCAUCAUCAUCAUCAUGAGGUACAUAUAAAUUAUCAAGCAUUUUUUCCAGCAGCAUCUACUUGGGGUUUUAGACCCUCACAUAUCGACCAUUUGCAUGUGCAAAGCCCUCAGCUUUUGA